GUCAUACAUCAUUUUUAUCUUUUUUUUCUUCAUAAAUUCAAUAUUAAUAUUCUUUAGCUUCAGAAACAUAUCUCAUACAAGAUAUUUUUAUGUGACGUAUUCAUUCUGAAAGUCUAACAUUUUUGGAGAAAAUAUUCAUAAACGCCCAAAAUUUCUAAUAAUAAAAAUCUUGUUCCUAAACUACAGAAGUUUAGCCAUUGUCAUUUUUAAAGCCAUUAGAAAAAGAUUCCUUAUUGGAAAAUUUGUCCAACUUGCUUAAGAAGCAUGUAACUAUAGCAGCUGAUAUGUCUCCAACAGGGUGUGACUGUCGGUUUAUGGUUCAAUCUCUGACGUGAGUGAAAUUGAUAUAUAAUAGAGUUUAGGGAUAUCAACUGUAAGCCUCUUUGCUGAUAGGUAUUUUUUCUUCCCUCAUAUGUGAUGUAUUUUAAUACUGAAUUUUCUUGUGCUUGUUGGAGGAUUAUUUUCAGAUAUUUUUCGACAUCAGCUACUUCUCAUACAUCAUUCAAAAAUAAAAUAAAAUUAUACACUACUUAAAAAGGUAACGUGUUAUUAUUAAUAAGCUCAUUCUUCACACUUCAGGAUGCUUAUUAAAUAUUUUGCCCGUCUCUACCAACUACUCAAACUACCUCACUUAUAGAUUAUAUAUGUAUGUAUAGCCCUGAAGUCAUCCUUAGUCCUGGGGCUAGAGUAUAGGUAUAAGAUACUUACAAAUGUAUCCAAAUGAUGAAAAAUAUUAAAUGGGUCAAACUCUCACACACUUAAAUAGAGGAAAGCUGAUGGGAUGAUUAAUUAAUUACAUGCAGCUUAAUAUUAAAAGCCCUCGAUAUUUAUUGUUGACGGUAUUAAAAUUUCAUAGCAAUCCCAUUUUUGACCUUAAUACAUAAAGUUAAAAUCAAAUCAAUCUUUAUGGUGAACUGCAUCCCUUAAAAGUAAUGAGAUCAACUACUGAAGCUCCAAAUAGUUUCAUUUUCAUUUUGGAAAUGUUGAAAAAAACAAGAUAAUAUUCAAUAUUAAUUCUUGUGAUGCUAGUAAUUUUUUUUUGUCUCUACAUUGUUCUUUCCCAUGAUUGAAGUGUCCUACGUAAAAUACACUAUUAUUUGAAAUACAUGUAAAAUUAUUUGUAAAUAAAUUAACUUUCACGUUGAA
rnacentral:lncRNA from 1 species